CGCCGCCCUUAUCGAAGCUGCAGCUGCUUCCGUGUGGCCGCUGUGGUCAAAGAGGAACCCAGAGUUUUCCCUGGUGGUCGCUGUUCUGCUUGGUGGCCGGUCUACAGCAUUGUGGGGAAAGACAGGC
rnacentral:snoRNA from 1 species